rnacentral:rRNA from 1 species
AUCUAUGGGCAUACCAUCCUGAACAUGCCUGAUCUCAUCUGAUCCCCGAUGCUAAGCAGAGUCAAAGCUGGUUAGUACCUGGAUGGUAGAAAACAUGAAUGACCUGUAUAACAAAGAAU